rnacentral:sRNA from 1 species
CGCGCUCCACACAGAUUCAAAUCUGAGCAUGAGGCCAUCCAAUGGAGGAUGUAACACCAGUAGUUAAGUUGCUUGGGAUAUAGCAAAUGUUAACUACAUCAAUGGUGU